CCAUACCACCAUGUUAAUGCCUGAUCUGGUCUCUACUGGUUUGUACUUGCAUGGGAGACCACUGGGAAUACCAGGUGCCACGGUAUGGC
rnacentral:rRNA from 1 species